GCGCGAUACAGGGUGACAGCCCCGUACACAAAAAUGCACAUACUGUGAGCUCGAUGAGUAGGGCGGGACACGUGGUAUCCUGUCUGAAUAUGGGGGGACCAUCCUCCAAGGCUAAAUACUCCUGACUGACCGAUAGUGAACCAGUACCGUGAGGGAAAGGCGAAAAGAACCCCGGCGAGGGGAGUGAAAAAGAACCUGAAACCGUGUACGUACAAGCAGUGGGAGCACGCUUAGGCGUGUGACUGCGUACCUUUUGUAUAAUGGGUCAGCGACUUAUAUUCUGUAGCAAGGUUAACCGAAUAGGGGAGCCGAAGGGAAACCGAGUCUUAACUGGGCGUUAAGUUGCAGGGUAUAGACCCGAAACCCGGUGAUCUAGCCAUGGGCAGGUUGAAGGUUGGGUAACACUAACUGGAGGACCGAACCGACUAAUGUUGAAAAAUUAGCGGAUGACUUGUGGCUGGGGGUGAAAGGCCAAUCAAACCGGGAGAUAGCUGGUUCUCCCCGAAAGCUAUUUAGGUAGCGCCUCGUGAAUUCAUCUCCGGGGGUAGAGCACUGUUUCGGCAAGGGGGUCAUCCCGACUUACCAACCCGAUGCAAACUGCGAAUACCGGAGAAUGUUAUCACGGGAGACACACGGCGGGUGCUAACGUCCGUCGUGAAGAGGGAAACAACCCAGACCGCCAGCUAAGGUCCCAAAGUCAUGGUUAAGUGGGAAACGAUGUGGGAAGGCCCAGACAGCCAGGAUGUUGGCUUAGAAGCAGCCAUCAUUUAAAGAAAGCGUAAUAGCUCACUGGUCGAGUCGGCCUGCGCGGAAGAUGUAACGGGGCUAAACCAUGCACCGAAGCUGCGGCAGCGACGCUUAUGCGUUGUUGGGUA
rnacentral:rRNA from 1 species